UCUGGAAACUNUCUGACUUGAGUGCAGAAGGGGAGAGUGGAAUUCCAUGUGUAGCGGUGAAAUGCGUAGAUACAUGGAGGAACACCAGUGGCGAAAGCGGCUCUCUGGUCUGUCACUGACGCUGAGGCUCGAAAGCGUGGGUAGCGAACAGGAUUAGAUACCCUGGUAGUCCACGCCGUAAACGAUGAGUGCUAGGUGUUAGGCCCUUUCCGGGGCUUAGUGCCGGAGCUAACGCAAUAAGCACUCCGCCUGGGGAGUACGACCGCAAGGUUGAAACUCAAAGGAAUUGACGGGGGCCCGCACAAGCGGUGGAGCAUGUGGUUUAAUUCGAAGCAACGCGAAGAACCUUACCAGGUCUUGACAUCCCGAUGCUAUUCUUAGAGAUAGGAAGUUACUUCGGUACAUCGGAGACAGGUGGUGCAUGGUUGUCGUCAGCUCGAGUCGUGAGAUGUUGGGUUNNNNNNNNCAACGAGCGCAACCCUUAUUGUUAGUUGCCAUCAUUAAGUUGGGCACUCUAGCGAGACUGCCGGUAAUAAACCGGAGGAAGGUGGGGAUGACGUCAAAUCAUCAUGCCCCUUAUGACCUGGGCUACACACGUGCUACAAUGGUCGGUACAACGAGUUGCGAGCCGGUGACGGCAAGCUAAUCUCUGAAAGCCGAUCUCAGUUCGGAUUGGAGGCUGCAACUCGCCUCCAUGAAGUCGGAAUCGCUAGUAAUCGCGGAUCAGCACGCCGCGGUGAAUACGUUCCCGGGCCU
rnacentral:rRNA from 1 species